rnacentral:rRNA from 1 species
CUUAAAUUGAAGAGUUUGAUCAUGGCUCAGAUUGAACGCUGGCGGCAGGCCUAACACAUGCAAGUCGAGCGGUAGCACAGGAGAGCUUGCUCUCUGGGUGACGAGCGGCGGACGGGUGAGUAAUGUCUGGGAAACUGCCUGAUGGAGGGGGAUAACUACUGGAAACGGUAGCUAAUACCGCAUAACGUCUUCGGACCAAAGAGGGGGACCUUAGGGCCUCUUGCCAUCGGAUGUGCCCAGAUGGGAUUAGCUAGUAGGCGGGGUAAUGGCCCACCUAGGCGACGAUCCCUAGCUGGUCUGAGAGGAUGACCAGCCACACUGGAACUGAGACACGGUCCAGACUCCUACGGGAGGCAGCAGUGGGGAAUAUUGCACAAUGGGCGCAAGCCUGAUGCAGCCAUGCCGCGUGUGUGAAGAAGGCCUUCGGGUUGUAAAGCACUUUCAGCGGGGAGGAAGGCAAUAAGGCUAAUAUCCUUAUUGAUUGACGUUACCCGCAGAAGAAGCACCGGCUAACUCCGUGCCAGCAGCCGCGGUAAUACGGAGGGUGCAAGCGUUAAUCGGAAUGACUGGGCGUAAAGCGCACGCAGGCGGUCUGUUAAGUCAGAUGUGAAAUCCCCGAGCUUAACUUGGGAACUGCAUUUGAAACUGGCAGGCUAGAGUCUUGUAGAGGGGGGUAGAAUUCCAGGUGUAGCGGUGAAAUGCGUAGAGAUCUGGAGGAAUACCGGUGGCGAAGGCGGCCCCCUGGACAAAGACUGACGCUCAGGUGCGAAAGCGUGGGGAGCAAACAGGAUUAGAUACCCUGGUAGUCCACGCUGUAAACGAUGUCGAUUUGGAGGUUGUGCCCUUGAGGCGUGGCUUCCGGAGCUAACGCGUUAAAUCGACCGCCUGGGGAGUACGGCCGCAAGGUUAAAACUCAAAUGAAUUGACGGGGGCCCGCACAAGCGGUGGAGCAUGUGGUUUAAUUCGAUGCAACGCGAAGAACCUUACCUACUCUUGACAUCCAGAGAACUUAGCAGAGAUGCUUUGGUGCCUUCGGGAACUCUGAGACAGGUGCUGCAUGGCUGUCGUCAGCUCGUGUUGUGAAAUGUUGGGUUAAGUCCCGCAACGAGCGCAACCCUUAUCCUUUGUUGCCAGCGGUUAGGCCGGGAACUCAAAGGAGACUGCCAGUGAUAAACUGGAGGAAGGUGGGGAUGACGUCAAGUCAUCAUGGCCCUUACGAGUAGGGCUACACACGUGCUACAAUGGCGUAUACAAAGAGAAGCGACCUCGCGAGAGCAAGCGGACCUCAUAAAGUACGUCGUAGUCCGGAUUGGAGUCUGCAACUCGACUCCAUGAAGUCGGAAUCGCUAGUAAUCGUAGAUCAGAAUGCUACGGUGAAUACGUUCCCGGGCCUUGUACACACCGCCCGUCACACCAUGGGAGUGGGUUGCAAAAGAAGUAGGUAGCUUAACCUUCGGGAGGGCGCUUACCACUUUGUGAUUCAUGACUGGGGUGAAGUCGUAACAAGGUAACCGUAGGGGAACCUGCGGUUGGAUCACCUCCUUACCAAGAAG